rnacentral:rRNA from 1 species
GGAAGUAAAAGUCGUAACAAGGUUUCCGUAGGUGAACCUGCGGAAGGAUCAUUACCGAGUGUAGGGUUCCUAGCGAGCCCAACCUCCCACCCGUGUUUACUGUACCUUAGUUGCUUCGGCGGGCCCGCCAUUCAUGGCCGCCGGGGGCUCUCAGCCCCGGGCCCGCGCCCGCCGGAGACACCACGAACUCUGUCUGAUCUAGUGAAGUCUGAGUUGAUUGUAUCGCAAUCAGUUAAAACUUUCAACAAUGGAUCUCUUGGUUCCGGCAUCGAUGAAGAACGCAGCGAAAUGCGAUAACUAGUGUGAAUUGCAGAAUUCCGUGAAUCAUCGAGUCUUUGAACGCACAUUGCGCCCCCUGGUAUUCCGGGGGGCAUGCCUGUCCGAGCGUCAUUGCUGCCCAUCAAGCACGGCUUGUGUGUUGGGUCGUCGUCCCCUCUCCGGGGGGGACGGGCCCCAAAGGCAGCGGCGGCACCGCGUCCGAUCCUCGAGCGUAUGGGGCUUUGUCACCCGCUCUGUAGGCCCGGCCGGCGCUUGCCGAACGCAAAUCAAUCUUUUUCCAGGUUGACCUCGGAUCAGGUAGGGAUACCCGCUGAACUUAAGCAU